GAUGAACGCUAGCGAUAGGCCUAACACAUGCAAGUCGAGGGGCAGCAUAGAGUAGCAAUACUUUGAUGGCGACCGGCGCACGGGUGAGUAACACGUAUGCAACCUACCUACAUCAGGGGAAUAACCCGGAGAAAUUCGGACUAAUACCGCAUAAUACAGGGAUGCCGCAUGGCAAUAUUUGUUAAAGAUUUAUCGGAUGUAGAUGGGCAUGCGUUCCAUUAGCUGGUUGGUAAGGUAACGGCUUACCAAGGCAACGAUGGAUAGGGGAACUGAGAGGUUUGUCCCCCACACUGGAACUGAGACACGGACCAGACUCCUACGGGAGGCAGCAGUGAGGAAUAUUGGUCAAUGGACGAGAGUCUGAACCAGCCAAAUCGCGUGAAGGAAGACUGCCCUACGGGUUGUAAACUUCUUUUGUACAGGAAUAAAAGACAUUACGUGUAAUGUAUUGCAUGUACUGUACGAAUAAGCAUCGGCUAACUCCGUGCCAGCAGCCGCAGUAA
rnacentral:rRNA from 1 species